UACGGAGGGUCCAAGCGUUAUCCGGAAUCAUUGGGUUUAAAGGGUCCGUAGGCGGUUUGGUAAGUCAGUGGUGAAAGCCCAUCGCUCAACGAUGGAACGGCCAUUGAUACUGCUAGACUUGAAUUAUUGUGAAGUAACUAGAAUAUGUAGUGUAGCGGUGAAAUGCUUAGAUAUUACAUGGAAUACCAAUUGCGAAGGCAGGUUACUAACAAUAUAUUGACGCUGAUGGACGAAAGCGUGGGGAGCGAACAGG
rnacentral:rRNA from 1 species